rnacentral:rRNA from 1 species
AACGCGAAGAACCUUACCUGGGUUUGACAUACCGUGAAAAGUGCAGAGAUGCAUAAUAGCCGCAAGGCACACGGAUACAGGUGCUGCAUGGCUGUCGUCAGCUCGUGUCGUGAGAUGUUGGGUUAAGUCCCGCAACGAGCGCAACCCUUUCCCUUAUUUGCCAGCAUUCAGUUGGGCACUCUAGGGGUACUGCCGAUGAUAAAUCGGAGGAAGGUGGGGAUGAGGUCAAGUCAUCAUGGCCCUUACGUCCAGGGCAACACACGUACUACAAUGGCCAAGACAAAGUGAAGCAACACCGAGAGGUGAAGCCAAUCGCAAAAACAUGGUCUCAGUUCGGAUUGUGGUCUGCAACUCGACCACAUGAAGUUGGAAUCUCUAGUAAUCGCAGAUCAGCAGGCUGCGGUGAAUACGUUCCCGGGCCUUGUACACACCGCACGA